CCUACGGGUGGCUGCAGUGAGGAAUAUUGGUCAAUGGGCGCGAGCCUGAACCAGCCAAGUAGCGUGAAGGAUGACUGCCCUACGGGUUGUAAACUUCUUUUAUAAAGGAAUAAAGUGAGGCACGUGUGCCUUUUUGUAUGUACUUUAUGAAUAAGCAUCGGCUAACUCCGUGCAAGCAGCCGCGGUAAUACGGAGGAUCGGUGCUUUAUCCGGUUUUGUUGGGUUUAAAGGGAGCGUGGAUGGGUUGUUAAGUCAGUUGUUAAGGUUUGGGGCUCAACCUUAAAAUAGCAAUUGAUACUGGCAGCCUUGAGUACAGUUGAGGUAGGCGGAAUUCGUGGUGUAGCGGUGAAAUGCUUAGAUAUCACGAAGAACUCCGAUUGCGAAGGCAGCCUACUAAACUGCCACUGACAUUGAUGCUCGAAAGUGUGGGUAUCAAACAGGAUUAGAUACCCCUGUAGUC
rnacentral:rRNA from 1 species